rnacentral:rRNA from 1 species
AGCAGCCGCGGUAAUUCCAGCUCCAAUAGCAUAUAUUAAAGUUGUUGCAGUUAAAAAGCUCGUAGUUGAAUUUCGGGGUCAGUAGGUUGGUCGUGCCACCGGUACAUACUGGUCUCACUGAUUCCUCCUUCCUGAAGAACCGUAAUGCCAUUAAUUUGGUGUUGCGGGGAAACAGGACUGUUACUUUGAAAAAUUAGAGUGUUUAAAGCAGGCUAACGCCUGAAUACAUUAGCAUGGAAUAAUGAAAUAGGACGAUCGAUCCUAUUUUGUGGUUUCUAGGAUUGACGUAAUGAUUAAUAGGGAUAGUUGGGGGCAUUAGUAUUCAAUUGUCAGAGGUGAAAUUCUUGGAUUUAUUGAAGACUAACUACUAGCGAAAGCAUUUGCCAAGGAUGUUUUCAUUAAUCAAGAACGAAGUUAGGGGAUCGAAGACGAUCAGAUACCGUCGUAGUCUUAACCAUAAACUAUGCCGACUAGGGAUCGGAUGAUGCCAAUUUUAUAAUGACUCAUUCGGCUACCG